rnacentral:rRNA from 1 species
UGAGUUUGAUCCUGGCUCAGAGCGAACGCUGGCGGCAGGCCUAACACAUGCAAGUCGAACGGACCCUUCGGGGUUAGUGGCGGACGGGUGAGUAACACGUGGGAACGUGCCUUUAGGUUCGGAAUAGCUCCUGGAAACGGGUGGUAAUGCCGAAUGUGCCCUUCGGGGGAAAGAUUUAUCGCCUUUAGAGCGGCCCGCGUCUGAUUAGCUAGUUGGUGAGGUAAUGGCUCACCAAGGCGACGAUCAGUAGCUGGUCUGAGAGGAUGACCAGCCACAUUGGGACUGAGACACGGCCCAAACUCCUACGGGAGGCAGCAGUGGGGAAUCUUGCGCAAUGGGCGAAAGCCUGACGCAGCCAUGCCGCGUGAAUGAUGAAGGUCUUAGGAUUGUAAAAUUCUUUCACCGGGGACGGAUAAUGACGGUACCCGGAGAAGAAG